rnacentral:lncRNA from 1 species
CGGAUUUUCUUUGUGACGAGUUUAUUUUUAACGAAAUUGACUACCCAUGAGGGUCUUGCACGGUCGGAUUUUCUUUGUGACGAGUUUAUUUUUAACGAAAUUGACUACCCAUGAGGGUCUUGUAUGGUCGGAUUUUCUUUUUGACAAGUUUAUUUUUAACGAAAUUGACUACCCAUGAGGGUCUUGUACGGUCGGAUUUUCUUUGUGACGAGUUUAUUUUUAACGAAAUUGACUACCCAUGAGGGUCUUGCACGGUCGAAUUUUCUUUGUGACGAGUUUAUUUUUAACGACAUUGACAACCCAUGAGGGUCUUGCAC